ACGUAGGGGGCAAGCGUUGUCCGGAAUUAUUGGGCGUAAAGCGCGCGCAGGCGGUCUUUUAAGUCUGAUGUGAAAGCCCACGGCUUAACCGUGGAGGGUCAUUGGAAACUGGAGGACUUGAGUGCAGAAGAGGAGAGUGGAAUUCCUGGUGUAGCAGUGAAAUGCGUAGAUAUCAGGAGGAAUACCGAUGGCGAAGGCAGGUCUCUGGGCCGACACUGACGCUCAUGCACGAAAGCGUGGGGAGCAAACAGGA
rnacentral:rRNA from 1 species